rnacentral:rRNA from 1 species
CUCCUGACUGACCGAUAGUGAACCAGUACCGUGAGGGAAAGGCGAAAAGAACCCCUGUGAGGGGAGUGAAAUAGAUCCUGAAACCGCAUGCAUACAAGCAGUGGGAGCACCUUCGUGGUGUGACUGCGUACCUUUUGUAUAAUGGGUCAGCGACUUAUAUUCAGUAGCGAGGUUAACCGUAUAGGGGAGCCGUAGAGAAAUCGAGUCUUAAUAGGGCGUUUAGUUGCUGGGUAUAGACCCGAAACCAGGCGAUCUAUCCAUGAGCAGGUUGAAGGUUGGGUAACACUAACUGGAGGACCGAACCCACUGUCGUUGAAAAGCCAGGGGAUGACUUGUGGAUAGGGGUGAAAGGCUAAUCAAGCCUGGUGAUAGCUGGUUCUCCCCGAAAGCUAUUUAGGUAGCGCCUCGGACGAAUACCAUAGGGGGUAGAGCACUGUUUCGGCUAGGGGGUCAUCCCGACUUACCAAACCGAUGCAAACUCCGAAUACCUAUGAGUACUAUCCGGGAGACAGACUGCGGGUGCUAACGUCCGUAGUCAAGAGGAAAACAAUCCAGACCGCCAGCUAAGGCCCCAAAAUCAUAGUUAAGUGGGAAACGAUGUGGGAAGGCAUAGACAGCUAGGAGGUUGGCUUAGAAGCAGCCACCCUUUAAAGAAAGCGUAAUAGCUCACUAGUCGAGUCGGCCUGCGCGGAAGAUGUAACGGGGCUAAAACUAUGUGCCGAAGCUGCGGAUGUAUACUUUGUAUACGUGGUAGGGGAGCGUUCUGUAAGCCGAUGAAGGUGUGUUGAGAAGCAUGCUGGAGGUAUCAGAAGUGCGAAUGCUGACGUGAGUAACGACAAAACGGGUGAAAAACCCGUUCGCCGAAAGACCAAGGGUUCCAGUCCAACGUUAAUCGGGGCUGGGUGAGUCGACCCCUAAGGCGAGGCCGAAAGGCGUAGUCGAUGGGAAAAUGGUUAAUAUUCCAUUACUUCUGUGUAAUGCGAUGAGAGGACGGAGAAGGCUAAAUCAGCCUGGCGUUGGUUGUCCAGGUGAAAGGAUGUAGGCAUGUAUCUUAGGCAAAUCCGGGGUACUCUAUGCUGAGAUCUGAUAGCAAGCUGUACUUGUACAGCGAAGUGGUUGAUGCCAUGCUUCCAGGAAAAGUCUCUAAGCUUCAGUUACACAGGAAUCGUACCCGAAACCGACACAGGUGGUCAGGUCGAGUAGACCAAGGCGCUUGAGAGAACUCUGCUGAAGGAACUAGGCAAAAUGGUACCGUAACUUCGGGAGAAGGUACGCUGUUGUUGGUGAUGGAACUCGCUUCCUGAGCUGACGACAGCCGCAGAAACCAGGCCGCUGCAACUGUUUAUUAAAAACAUAGCACUCUGCAAAC